AGUGAACGCUGGCGGCAGGCCUAACACAUGCAAGUCGAACGGCAGCACCGUAAGAGCUUGCUCUUACGGGUGGCGAGUGGCGGACGGGAGAGGAAUACAUCGGAAUCUACUUUUUCGUGGGGGAUCACGUAGGGAAACUUACGCUAAUACCGCAUCUGACCUACGGGUGAAAGCAGGGGAUCUUCGGACCUUGCGCGAUUGAAUGCGCCGAUGUCGGAUUAGCUAGUUGGCGGGGUAAAGGCCCACCAAGGCGACGAUCCGUAGCUGGUCUGAGAGGAUGAUCGGCCACACUGGAACUGAGACACGGUCAAGACUCCUACGGGAGGCAGCAGUGGGGAAUAUUGGACAAUGGGCGCAAGCCUGAUCCAGCCAGACCGCGUGUGUGAAGAAGGCCUUCGGGUUGUAAAGCCCUUUUGUUGGGAAAGAAAAGCAGCAGGUUAAUACCCCGCUGUUCUGACGGUACCCAAAGAAUAAGCACCGGCUAACUUCGUG
rnacentral:rRNA from 1 species